UAGAUUGGAAUUGGAAGAGUGGAUAUAUAAAUAUAUAUGACAUGUAAAUAAACAUGGAUUUAAGUGUGUGUCUGUAUGUAUCCAUUGAAGGGACCUGGGAGCAACAAUGCCUGAGCAGCAAUGAGCAAGUUUAAUGCCCAGUCUUGAUUUCUAAAUGCUUUCCACUAUAAGAAACAAGAGUUUAUUGAGACUCUGAAAGCAGAACAGGGGAAGAAUAAGGAGCUUUGAACAUGUUGGGCCAGAAGUUACCAAGAAUAACUGUAAAAUGUGCUGGGAAUGCAAUGUCCUGAGAUAAGGAAGAACUGCCUGAAACAGCCUGGAUCUUAUUCCUGUACUUCCUAGGGAAUGUAACAUCUCAAGUUAAAGAGGAACUGCCCGGAACAGCCCGGGGAUUGUUCCUCUCUCCUGAGAAGGAAGAUUACCUCCAAAGCUCAUCCACUGAGUCACACUGCCCCUGUGGUGGAGGGCGGGCUGCCUUUCCAGGUUCCUCAGCUGUGGUGUAACUGAAGCAGGCACAAUCAAGACUCCAUCUGCUCGAGGCAGCUUUCUCGAACCUUGGGGAACCUACUCACAAUGGAUCACAGGCUUCUUUUGUUUUGUUUCUUGCUGCCUAUCUGUAAGUAAUUAACUUGCUUCAUGUAACGUGUUGCAUAUGAGUGUGUUCUGUCUCAUAGACUCAGGGAAUUGGUAACACUGCAGCUGAGGACGCAGUGGACAGAAGUGUUCAGACUCCUGUUCCUUGUGGUUGACACAGUGAUGAUGAUCUCUUCUGUCCUCCACAGAGUGGAAGUCCUCUCUUGGGAUUGGUUAUUGGUGAAACCACUUCGCAAUUUAUUAAGAUGGCAAAAGCUUACGGAGGGACAGAUUUGAGGGGAAGAUCAAGAUUUUUCUGUCAGUAUUGCAAAUAGUCAAGAAUAUGUGGUCCAAGAAGUGAUCAUUAUCUUUGGCAUUGUGCAAGUCAUUAGUGACCUUCACAUGAACAGUCUCAGUGGAGUGUUGGAGGAAAAAGCCUAACUGAAGAAGGUUCAAGAGUGAAUGGAAAAAGAGCAGUAGUAUGUGGAGAGUACAGACAAGUAUUUCCAGGAGCCUUUCUGUAAAGAGUGGUAGAGAAUGGGACAUCAUUUUUGGAUGGGGGAAGAGUUAUUUAUAGCAUGUUCAUAUGCUAAUGGAAGUGAUCUACUCAUGGGGAAAAUCUUGAUGAUGCAAGAAAGAAAGGGAUUUGUUGGAAUCUUGUCCUAUAACGGGUGAGAGGGGAUGGGUUCUAGAAGAAAAGGCAUGGGUCUUUGUUUGAGAUCAGGCAAUUCAUCUGUAGGAACCAGUAGGAAGAUGGUUAAGUGGGUACCUGUGGUAGUGGAUGUUUGUGAACAUUCUUUUCUUUUCCAUUGUUUCUAUUUUCUCAAUAAAGUGGGAAGCAAAAAUCAGCUGAGUGAAGAUGAGGAAGAAGGUGUUAAAGGUUUGAAGAAAAAAGGAAAAGGAUAUACUAAUCUAAGAGGACAAGUAAGUAGAACAUAGAUAAUGAAAAUGCUGGCCCUUAGGACUGUUGGGCCUAAAUGCUCAUAUUAUAUUGGUAGUCACAAAUUUGAACUUUCUCUAGAGCCAAUUUUUGCAUGUGUGUGCAGGCCUGGAGUAGUUGGAGAGUUGGAUUUAAUAGAAUUGAGGGUCAAGCAACUACAACCAGGGAAGAGUGGGACAAGGGAGAUAAAGGAUAUUGGCAGGGGAGCAAUUAUAAACAUGGACCAUGAUCAAAACUGGACAGGAAGGAAAAUAGAGAUAAGAGGGGUGGAAGGUUAAAAAUAGUGAAAAUGAGAUAGAAUGAAUAGGUUGUAGGUCCCUGUAAAGUUGAAGAAGUAUUAUUAUGCAGUACUCGUUAUUGAAAUGAGGUCACUAUGCUUAAGGCACAGUGAAUCCUAGAAAAUAGUGGUUUUGUUUCUCAUUAGGCAAUACAUUCCUCCUUGCUCCAGAAUGCAACAUACAUGUAUCCUUUUCUGUACUAUUUUUUAUUAAGAAUUCAUACUUAAUUCCACUGACUGCCACUCAAUUUUAAUGUACAGUAGGGAAUUCCUGUACUAUGUAUUAUGAAUCCAUUCCUUUGAAUUUCAUUUAUAAUACUUCAUGACUGACACCUGGCUUUCCACCAAGACUCAAUUUUCAUAGCAAGCCUCAUCAUCAUAAGCCCCCAAAUUAACAGGAUGAGGAGGAAGAAUUGGCAGGCUAAAGAAGAUGAUUAUAUCAAUUAAUGCAGAAAAAGCAUUUGAUAAAAUCCAAUAUUCAUUUGUAAUUAAAAACUCUCAGCAAGUUAGGGAUAGGAAUUACUUCAACUUAAUGAAGAGUGUCUUUAAAAACCUUAUUUUCAUCAGUUAUAACAAAUGUACCACUCUGGUGGUGAAUGUUGCUAAGGAGGGAAGCUAUACAUGUGUGGGGAAAGGAGAUGUGUGAGCAAUUUCUGUACCUUCUACUCAAUCUUCUGUGAGACUAAAAUUGCUGUAAAAAAUAAAGUUCAUUUUUUUAAAAA
rnacentral:lncRNA from 1 species